rnacentral:rRNA from 1 species
UACGGGAGGCAGCAGUGGGGAAUAUUGCACAAUGGGCGCAAGCCUGAUGCAGCCAUGCCGCGUGUAUGAAAAAGGCCUUCGGGUUGUAAAGUACUUUCAGUCGUGAGGAAGGUGUUAAGGUUAAUAACCUUAGCAAUUGACGUUAGCGACAGAAGAAGCACCGGCUAACUCCGUGCCAGCAGCCGCGGUAAUACGGAGGGUGCGAGCGUUAAUCGGAAUUACUGGGCGUAAAGGGCACGCAGGCGGUUAAUUAAGUUGGAUGUGAAAUCCCCGGGCUUAACCUGGGAAUGGCAUUCAAGACUGGUUAGCUAGAGUCUUGUAGAGGGGGUAGAAUUCCAUGUGUAGCGGUGAAAUGCGUAGAGAUGUGGAGGAAUACCGGUGGCGAAGGCGGCCCCUGGACAAAGACUGACGCUCAUGUGCGAAAGCGUGGGGAGCAAACAGGGAUUAGAUACCCG